rnacentral:lncRNA from 1 species
ACUCGCAGGGCUCUCACUGCUCGCGGUGCGGCAGCCGCGCGCGGACUCCGCUGCGCCUCCGAGGGGGCCAGGCACGCGGUCAAGAUCUGUGGCCACUGGUUCCCAUGGUUUCGAGGCACCAUGAGGCACGCUGGCUCUUGGAAACUUUGGCUCUGGGCAGCACUUCUCCUGCUUCCUGCUUCCACUUCCGUGACGGUUAGGGACAAGCCAGAAAAGCAGUGUCCUGUACUGAGAACAGAGGAGCAUCAGUUUACACAAGACAAUGGAGAUAAACUUGAAGUUUCAGGUUUUGACCUAGGAGAGAGCUUUUCUAUGAGACGUGUGUUUUGUGAAGGUGAUAAAACCUGUUUCAAAUUGGGAAGUUCACUUCUUAUUAGAGACACCAUGUUGAACUUCACCAACUUAAAAUCUACUGUGACUUGAACUUCAUAGCUCAAGAAACUUGUUGUGAGAUGUCAGACACUAAGUGCCCAGAGCAGGUUGGCUUUGGAAGUACUGCAUCUUUAUCAGUACCUGCGUAUGCCAGUCGAAUGUCUGCAUUUCUGCCAGCAAAGCAGGAACUAACAGACCAGUGCCAGUGUAUUCCAGAGAAGGGAGAAGCAGGAUUACAGGGAGCUCCAGGCUCACCGGGCCAGAAAGGAGACAAAGGACAGCAGGUAAGACACCAUCCAGUGCUGUCAGGAUGCAAGAGGAUUUGUCCAAAAGUGACUUUAAACUUGUGUCCAGCUCAUUUUUCUAGUCCCAUAUAAAUGCACAUUUCCAUAAAAAAGGCUGUCAAGGGCUGUAUUUAAGUGCUGUGCUGACCACUGAAAUAAAGAAGACUGAUAUCAGCAUGCAAGUCUGCUUUGGAGAAUCCUAUUGAAGGCUGGCCUAAAAUAUGGAAAGAUUAGGAAAUCUAGAUCUUUGUACCUGUUAAACCACAAGCAAAACCGCAAAGCAAGAAAGUUUGUUUUUCAGUGGUUUUGUAGCUUUCUUUAGCAUUCUCUUCUCCAAAUGCUUGAUGAACUUCUGAUGCUCUUGUCUGCUGAUAGGUCUCCACUGAAGAUUUUUCCUUACCCUUUAUUCAGGGGUGUAAACACCUUUGUUGAACACUUUCUCUGCGUAAGGCCUAGUGUUGGGUGUUAGAGGGGGUAGACAGAAGGGGAUCCAUUCCCUUUUCUCCAUGAUUUUAAAUCUGGGAGAAGACAGAAGACCUUAUCAGACCGCAUGUGUUAGGUGCUGUAGGAGCAUUUCAGGGGUCCUCAGGGAACUGUCUGGGGAGACUGGGGAGAGUUUCCUGGAGGAGAUGGUAAGUGAAAGGACCUGUGAGAAUCUGAUUCUAGCCAGUAUCCACACCUAGAGACUGCCUUUCCCUUCUCCCUAUCCCUUUUAUAACUGAACUAUUCAGUUCCCCACUCUUUUGAGUCAUGUCUUUUUUUCAACCAGUUUUUUUUUUUAAUUGAAGUACAGUCAGUUUACAGUGUUGUGUUAGCCUCAGGUGCACAGCAAAGUGACUGAAUUAUACAGGCAUAUAUAUUCUUUUUUCAGAUUCUUUUUUUUUUAAUAUCCAGCAGAUACUCAUUUUUUUAUUUUAAUGAUUUUUAUUUUUUUCCAUUGUGAGAUUCUUUUCCAUUAUAGUUUAUUACAAGACAUUGGAUGUAGUUCCCUGUGCUAUACAGUAGGUCCUUGUUAGUGUUCUAUUUUAUAUAUAGUAAUAUGUAUCUGUUAAUCCCAAACAUGUAUCUUCCCACCUCCUCUAUCCCCUCUAGUAACCAUAAGUUUGUUUUCUAUGAGUCAUGUCUCUUGUUAGCUCACUAGGUAGAUUAAUUUCUGCCAAGGUUAGAGUUGGUUAUGUUCUUACUAUCUUUCCAAGGUAAAAUAGUUUAAAUUCUUUUCAUGCCUUAACUUGGAAAUCCAAAGCUUUAAAUUGUUUAUAUAAUCUACAUGGACUCCUUAUUUUAAAAGGCUCAUAAGCAGAUUAAUUUAUGCCAAGAUUAGGAGUUGAUUAUAUCUUUCCAUGGAAGAUACAAUAGUAGACUUUCCUUUGGGAUCAUAGACCAAGAAUGGAGAGUUCCCUGGUGGCCUAGUGAUUAAGGAUUCAGCUUUGUCACUGCUAAGUUACCUGAAGUUCCCAUGGAAAAUAAAGAACUCAUAGAAAACAAACUUAUUAAGCACCUCAGUGGCUUCUGCUUGAGAGGAACUGUUUGGGGUAGGAUGGGUGUUUAUUUUUAAAGGCUGAGAAAUGACUGAUUUCACCAAGCUGCACAACAAGCUUCAACCAAGCCAUUCUUGGUUGGGUUCUUUUUUGGCCAAACCCACAACAUACAGAAGUUCCCAGGCCAGGGCUCAAACAUCAUCCACCUUAUAAACAAUAAUAUUCAGUAUUAUUUAUGUGUGGUCUUUGGUCAGGUUACUUCCACUUGUAAUAUCUUAUUUUGUCCUUAUCACCUAAGAAUGUAAAUCUAAUAUUUGUAUCCUCAUUUUGCAACUGAGAGAACCGUGCUUUCAAAAUCAUUAUAAUACUGAAGUGCACUUUUUAUUAUGUGAAAGCUUAAAAUAAUUGAGCAAUAUCUAGUUCUAAAGACUAUUUUUAUUAAUUAAUUAAUUAAUUAAUUUAUUUAUUGGCCCUGCACUCAGCAUGCAGAAGUUCUGAGGCCAGGGUUCUAAAGGCUAUUUAAAUCAAACUAAACAUUAAAAAUUACAGCAAUCUGGAGUUCCCAUCAUGGCGCAGUGGUUAAUGAAUCUGACUAGCAUCCACAAGGACGCAGGUUUAAUCCCUGGCCUUACUCAGUGGGUUAAGGAUCUGGCAUUUCCGUGUGCUGUGGUAUAGGUUGCAGACUCAUCUUGGAUCCUGUGUUGCUGUGGCUGUGGCAUAGGCCGGCAGCUAUAGCUCCAGUCUGACCCGUAGCCUGGGAAACUCUAUAUGCCAUGGUUGCGGCCCUAAAAAGAAAAAAAAAAAAA